AAGAACCUUACCAGGUCUUGACAUCCGAUGCUUAUUUCUAGAGAUAGAAAGUUACUUCGGUACAUCGGUGACAGGUGGUGCAUGGUUGUCGUCAGCUCGUGUCGUGAGAUGUUGGUUAAGUCCCGCAACGAGCGCAACCCCUAUUGUUAGUUGCCAUCAUUCAGUUGGGCACUCUAGCGAGACUGCCGGUAAUAAACCGGAGGAAGGUGGGAUGACGUCAAAUCAUCAUGCCCCUUAUGACCUGGGCUACACACGUGCUACAAUGGUUGGUACAACGAGUUGCGAGUCGGUGACGGCGAGCUAGUCUCUUAAAGCCAAUCUCAGUUCGGAUUGUAGGCUGCAACUCGCCUACAUGAAGUCGGAAUCGCUAGUAAUCGCGGAUCAGCAUGCCGCGGUGAAUACGUUCCCGGGCCUU
rnacentral:rRNA from 1 species